CAGUGACGUCAGCCCCCAGCCAGAGUCCGUUCCGUCCCGUCCCGAGCCGAGCUCGAGCCAGCCGCCUCGCCGCCAAUCAGCCAUGUUCGUGGAGAGUUGGAAAAAAAUCGCUCCGUGAAUUAGGCGUCGUUUUCCCCGUCCCGCAUCGGAAAGUGCCCCAAAUUUAUAGUUGUCGGGUAGAUUAACACUCUACCCGUUCCUUUUCGUGUGUUUUGAAUCUCAAAGAUCCAACCAUGAGUUACGGUAGACCUCCGCCGAGAAUUGAUGGCAUGGUGUCUCUGAAAGUAGGGAACCUGACCUACCGAACGACGACCGACGAUUUGCGACGAGUGUUUGAAAAAUUUGGUGAAGUUGGCGAUGUGUACAUCCCUAAAGACAGAUUCUCUCGGGAAAGUCGAGGAUUUGCCUUCGUGAGGUUCUAUGACAAAAGGGAUGCUGAAGAUGCAUUGGAUGCUAUGGAUGGAAGACUCCUUGAUGGCAGGGAAUUGAGAGUUCAGAUGGCCCGCUAUGGUCGUCCCUCUUCACCAUACCGUAGGAGCAGCCGCAGAAGAAGCAGCCGGUCCCGUUCAAGAUCCAGGCGUCGCUCUCGCAGCCGUAGCCGUUCCAGGUCCCGCUCUCGCUACUCCAGAUCGCGAUCUCGCCGCCGCUCUUACUCCAGGUCACGAUCUCGCUCUCGUUCAGACAGCAAGAGCUCACGAGGCAGAUCCAGGUCCAGGUCUAAGAGUGCUGAGAGGGCAGAACGCACCAGCAAAUCACGUUCUAAGUCCAAAGAUUAAGAUUGAGCGUGCAUAUGGUUUUGGGGGAGUGAGCGCUGUUUGGUGCUUCAUUUAAAGGGCGCGAGUCCGUGCGCUGUGGUAGCGGUAACGAGUGCAGAGGUUGGGGGUUGCGGUUACGAGAGUCAUGCUGAGAUCGGGGUGUUGCGAGCUCCAGGCGAGACACGAGACAUGCGAGACGAGACGUUCGAGGCGUGGCGAGCGUGCGGGUUGCUGAUUGGCUGACAUAUUCGGGGCAGGCAGUUUCCUCAGUCGCUGAGUCCGUAAUGUUGGCCAAACACUCAAAGAGUGUUAAAAAAAAUCUCUCCUCGCCUUAACAAUCACAUCAGGCUUUCCCUACUUACACCAUUACACAAUCUUUUAGCAAAUGGCCUCAUAAAUACGGUCAUGUUAAAUAUUUAUUUUCCAAUUGCGUAAUGUUUUGUAGAUUCCUUUUAUCAUUUCCCUUAAUCUCUUUUCAAAAUUUUUCUGAUCACUUUGCCAUUUGCCUUAAGAUUAUUUUAUUUUCACCUUGCCUGAAUAUUUAAACCUUAAUCCUUCAAAACUUCGACCUUUAUCAUAGUAUGCUGCACAAUUUAUUAAGGUGGGUAUGAAAAGACUUUCCUCCUAAGUGCAUAAAAGUAUUGAGUAAUGAGUACUUAUGUAGUUCACUCUGGGGCCUGGAACAUCACUUCAUAGUUACCCAUAUAAAUACUUCUGUAUCUAUUUGCACUGCUAUUAACUUCCAAUUGGCAGAGUUUAAAGUAGCGAAUUAAUCUGAAGUGAUCUGCAGAUGCCUUUUUUUCUGUUUAAACAGUUCAUAUUUUUAAAUUUCUUUGAGAUGUAGCAUGCAUGGCUCCUUCACACAAUUCCUCUGCAUGUGGUCAGAAGUUACUUUGAAACAAUUUAUGCCUAUGAUGCUGAUUUAUGUUGGUCUUAUGUAUUGCAUACUUUAAUAGCUAGCGAAAAAUAUUGCUUAAUCCUCUGCCUUACAUGUAGAGUUUCAUAUAUUCAGUACAGCUGAUGGGAAAACUUGCUGUUAAACUCCCUUUAUGUUUGUGGUGGAUGCGGUGUUGGUAUCUGCUCUGGUUUUCUCGUCGAUCAGUUGUGUUGUGCAUGUGGGAGGUCUUUGUGGGUCUUUGGUUGCUGCUUUUGGAAUAGUUGUGUACUGGGUAGGUAUGAUGGUUAACUUCAAAGUACACCAUCAUUUAAACCCCCGAAAAGCUUAGAAGGCCUUGACUUAUUGUUUUUAUCAAUGGAGGAUAUUCAAUUCUUUUUUUUUUUGUCUUAAUAUAUCAAGAACAAUUUUAAAGUACUCUGGCCUCCUAACUUUUUUUUCAUCUGGUAUGUGCUACUAUGUUACUAACUUUUGUUUUUUACAGAUCAGUGUUGCUCCUGACUUCCUAUUUUUAAAUACUUUGUCUUCAAAAUCAAUGACAAUAAAUUACUGUGCUCUUUAA